rnacentral:rRNA from 1 species
UACAGAGGGUGCGAGCGUUGUUCGGAAUUAUUGGGCGUAAAGCGUCCGCAGGUGGCUGUUCAAGUCUGCUGUCAAAGCGCAGAGCUUAACUCUGUACAGGCGGUGGAAACUGAAGAGCUAGAGUAUGGUAGGGGUAGAGGGAAUUCCCGGUGUAGCGGUGAAAUGCGUAGAUAUCGGGAAGAACACCAGUGGCGAAAGCGCUCUACUGGGCCAUAACUGACACUGAGAGACGAAAGCUAGGGGAGCAAAUGGG